rnacentral:rRNA from 1 species
CACGUAGGGCGCAAGCGUUGUCCGGAAUUAUUGGGCGUAAAGAGCUCGUAGGCGGUCUGUUACGUCUGCUGUGAAAACCCGGGGCGUUAACCCUGGGCUUGCAGUGGAUACGGGCAGACUAGAGGCAGGUAGGGGGAGAAUGGAAUUCCCGGUGUAGCGGUGAAAUGCGCAGAUAUCGGGAGGAACACCGGUGGCGAAGGCGGGUUCUCUGGGCCUGACCUGACGCUGAGGAGCGAAAGCGUGGGGAGCGAAACAGG